UCUCUCUCUCUCCAAUGGCGUGCUUCUUCUUCUUCUCUGUUUCUCUGCCCUCGCUUCGCAUCCAUAGCAGGACGACGUUGUUUGGAUUUGAAAUCGAUUUCGAGCUUGGAAAAUGUUGAAAAUGGAGCACGCGGUCGUUCCCCUGAGGAGGUGCUGGAGCACGUGUUCUCGUUCCUGCAGUCGGACGGCGACCGAAACUCGACCUCACUUGUGUGCAAGUCGUGGUAGAUGAUCGAGCGGCGAGCUGAAAAUUCAGUGCUUUGGUUUUUGCAUUAUCGGUAAUCUGUUAGUUACCUUCAGAAUGAUAAUACUAUGCUAGAGAACAAGCAAAAAGAGGUGAAGGGAUACAUAGCUUACUUCAGUCUAUGGAAACUUUCGUGAAUGCUUAUGAGGCUAUUGUAGACAUAAUGUGGGAGCCAUAUAUUUUUGGAAGGAAUAAAGUUCAAACAAAUGCUCAAUGGCCAUGAAUGUGGGAGCCAAUCACAAAGCUGUGCAUCUUGAAGAUAGCAAAAAGAUAACCAGGUUUGGAUAUGAUAUUAUACGUUGAGAUCUCUCUUUUGCAUUCCUAACAAACCCAGUCUUUCACAUUUAUUUGUAAUGCUUCUAACUGAUGCACUAUUUUAAAAGAGGGACUGACCUGGAGAGUAUGACCAUAGUUCAACGUGAUGCUUUACUGGUUUUCCGAACCCUGUGGUUUGUGUUUUUGUACACUGUCUUCUAAUUGUUGAGUCAUUUAAGCAACUUGAAGCCUCCUAUAUGAAUUUCGAAACUUGGUCUGCAGAUGGGCAUAAAGGAAGAUAACAAUGAAGUCGCUUUGAAGACGAGAAUUUUAUCUCUUCAGCUUCUGCAGGUUAUAUUAAAGAUUAUUGUGAUUUUAAGUGCAUGCUUUUAUGGAUAGAUGCUUACAUACAAAGUAGCUGAUACUGUUAAAUAACUUGAAAGUUUUAUUUAAAAGUAAUUUCUUGAACUUAUUAAGUAUGAGCUUCCUCUUUCUAAGACUAUGGAUGGAGAAAGGAAGAUUUGUAUAAUCCAUGAAGAUGACUUCCUAUUCAGUGACUUAUCUAAGGAGCUUUCCUUUUACUUAUUUUCAGUGUUUUUUGAAUAAUAUGAUUUAUUAUUUGGUCUUUCAGGGUUUGUUGGAAGGAGUUGGUCAUCCAUUUACUAGGAACUUCCAGUUUAUUGCUUCAAUGAAAGCAUACCUAUCAUAUGCUUUGUUGCUAGCUUCAGUUUCGUCGUCCCCUAUCAUAUUACAGGUUUACAUAUAUUCUUCAUCGGAUUUAGGUAGAGUAUUCUAUGAGAUUUUUGCUUUUGAUCAUUAGUUUCCUUCCUGCAGUGUGCAACUGGAAUUUUUUUAUAGUGCUUUUGUUGCGGUUUAGAGAAAGUCUCAAGGGUGAAAUAUGCAUCUUCUUUCCUUAAUUUGAUAGUUCUCCGGUCCCUGGAUGGCGUGGAUUUACCCAUGAACCAAAAAAUGAGUGUUCUUAGGAUGGUUGAAAAGGUUUGCAAGGAUCUUCAGAUGCUUGUUGACAUAUUUGUGAACUAUGACUGUGAUCUUGAGGCACCGAACUUGUUUGAGCAGAUGAAUAUCUCAAGGGAUGCAAAAUGCAGAUCCAAUAUGGCUGCUGCGUCCCAGACUACUUCAAUAAAGGGUUCAUCUCUUCAGGUUGCUGGAUGACCUCUUUUUCCUUGACCUUGCCAGUGUCUUGGGAAAAGUGAUGUGGAGAAUCAGAUAGAAUAAAAACACUCAGUCUUUGGAAGGAGAUGCCUCAGCUAAAGAGUAUGUUGAUGUGAAAAGCAGGC